rnacentral:rRNA from 1 species
UUCGCCAUUUAAAGUGGUACGCGAGCUGGGUUUAGAACGUCGUGAGACAGUUCGGUCCCUAUCUGCCGUGGGCGCUGGAGAAUUGAGGGGGGCUGCUCCUAGUACGAGAGGACCGGAGUGGACGCAUCACUGGUGUUCGGGUUGUCAUGCCAAUGGCAUUGCCCGGUAGCUAAAUGCGGAAGAGAUAAGUGCUGAAAGCAUCUAAGCACGAAACUUGCCCCGAGAUGAGUUCUCCCUGAGACUAUAAGUCUCCUGAAGGAACGUUAAAGACGAUGACGUUGAUAGGUCGGGUGUGUAAGCGUAGCGAUACGUUGAGCUAACCGAUACUAAUGAACCGUGAGGCUUAACCUUACAACGCCGAAG